rnacentral:rRNA from 1 species
UGAACGGAGAGUUUGAUCCCGCUCAGGAUGAACGCUGGCGGCGUGUUUAACACAUGCAAGUCGAACGAUGAUCCGGUGCUUGCGCCGGGGAUUAGUGGCGAACGGGUGAGUAACACGUGAGUAACCUGCCCUUGACUCUGGGAUAAGCCCGGGAAACUGGGUCUAAUACCGGAUAUGACUCCUCAUCGCAUGGUGGGGGUGGAAAGCUUUUGUGGUUUUGGAUGGACUCGCGGCCUAUCAGCUUGUUGGUGGGGUAAUGGCCUACCAAGGCGACGACGGGUAGCCGGCCUGAGAGGGUGACCGGCCACACUGGGACUGAGACACGGCCCAGACUCCUACGGGAGGCAGCAGUGGGGAAUAUUGCACAAUGGGCGAAAGCCUGAUGCAGCGACGCCGCGUGAGGGAUGACGGCCUUCGGGUUGUAAACCUCUUCAGUAGGGAAGAAGCCCCUUUGGGGUGACGGUACUUGCAGAAGAAGCGCCGGCUAACUACGUGCCAGCAGCCGCGGUAAUACGUAGGGCGCAAGCGUUAUCCGGAAUUAUUGGGCGUAAAGAGCUCGUAGGCGGUUUGUCGCGUCUGCUGUGAAAGACCGGGGCUCAACCCGGUUCUGCAGUGGGUACGGGCAGACUAGAGUGCAGUAGGGGAGACUGGAAUUCUCGUGUAGCGGUGAAAUGCGCAGAUAUCAGGAGGAACACCGAUGGCGAAGGCAGGUCUCUGGCUGUAACUGACGCUGAGGAGCGAAAGCAUGGGGAGCGAACAGGAUUAGAUACCCGGUAGUCCAUGCCGUAAACGUUGGGCACUAGGUGUGGGGACAUUCCACGUUUUCCGCGCCGUAGCUAACGCAUUAAGUGCCCCGCCCGGGGAGUACGGCCGCAAGGCUAAAACUCAAAGGAAUUGACGGGGCCCGCACAAGCGGCGGAGCAUGCGGAUUAAUUCGAUGCAACGCGAAGAACCUUACCAAGGCUUGACAUGGACCGGAAAGACCCGGAAACAGGUGCCCCGCUUGCGGCCGGUUUACAGGUGGUGCAUGGUUGUCGUCAGCUCGUGUCGUGAGAUGUUGGUUAAGUCCCGCAACGAGCGCAACCCUCGUUCUAUGUUGCCAGCGGUUCGGCCGGGGACUCAUAGGAGACUGCCGGGUCAACUCGGAGGAAGGUGGGGACGACGUCAAAUCAUCAUGCCCCUUAUGUCUUGGGCUUCACGCAUGCAAAUGGCCGGUACAAAGGGUUGCGAUACUGUGAGGUGGAGCUAAUCCCAAAAGCCGGUCUCAGUUCGGAUUGGUCUGCAACUCGACCCCAUGAAGUCGGAGUCGCUAGUAAUCGCAGAUCAGCAACGCUGCGGUGAAUACGUUCCCGCCUUGUACACACCGCCCGUCAAGUCACGAAAGUUGGUAACACCCGAAGCCGGUGGCCUAACCCUGUGGGGAGCCGUCGAAGGUGGGACCGGCGAUUGGGACUAAGUCGUAACAAGGUAGCCGUACCGGAAGGUGCGGCUGAUCACCUCCUUU